rnacentral:misc_RNA from 1 species
GAUGAAGAACGUAGCGAAAUGCGAUACGUAAUGUGAAUUGCAAAUUCAGUGAAUCAUCGAGUCUUUGAACGCACAUUGCGCCCCCUGGUAUUCCGGGGGGCAUGCCUGUCCGAGCGUCAUUGCUGCCCUCAAGCACGGCUUGUGUGUUGGGCCCCGUCCUCCGAUCCCGGGGGACGGGCCCGAAAGGCAGCGGCGGCACCGCGUCCGGUCCUCGAGCGUAUGGGGCUUUGUCACCCGCUCUGUAGGCCCGGCCGGCGCUUGCCGAUCAACCCAAAAUUUUAUCCAGGUUGACCUCGGAUCAGGUAGGGAUACCCGCUGAACUUAAGCAUAUCAAAAGCGGAGGA